UCGCCGCAGCCAGUCGCACGUCCCGGUCCCCGUGUUCAGUCGUUAGUGUCUCAAGAGCUAGGUGAUUAGGUGUUAGUUAGCUGUCGUUAGUUUGAGAGUUCAUUAUUCUCAUAGUUUAUUAGUUUAUUCAUUCGAUAGUUCCUUAGUUAGAUAGUUCAGUAGUUCGUUAGUUCAUCCAUUCGUUUGUAAGUUAGGUAGUUAGUUCAUUCAUUAGAUAGUUUGUUAGCUCAUUAGUUUAUUCGUUAGUUAGAUAGUUACUUCCCUAGUUCAGUAGUUAGUUAGUUAGUUAGUUAGUUAGUUUACUGUAGUUUCCCACCCGAGCGGCGGGAGCGCGCCUGUUGGAGCCCACCAGAUGCCACCCUGGGCGCAGGCAGGCAGGAAGCAGAACAACUCCCCCCCCAUUAAAGGCACUCCAUUUCUACCUCCCCUGGGGGCAGGGCAGGAGACGACGGACCCUGCACCCGGUGAGUUUGGGUCCAGCCUGAGCUGGGGGGGAGUUGUGUGAUUGCGUGGGGAGGGGGCAAGGUCUCUGCAUGGGGGCCCCCCCUCUCCCAACUCAGCCUCCAUUCCCAGGGGCCGAGCUGAUCCAGCCCUGCGGCACUUUCUCCCACCCUCCAGAUGCCUCUUUGUGCCAGAACACCCCUCCCCAGCCUUACUGACCCUCAUACCCUUGUCCCCUGGGACCCACCCCCUGCCAGGGGCAGUUGUAUCUCAGGCGACCAGCCAUGUCCCUGGGGUCUCUCCCAGACCUGCUCCCUGGAGGGACUCCCACCUGACCCCCAUGGAGGAAGGCCCUGCCCUUGUGGCACAUGUGGCAGAAAUGCCACCGUCAGUGCCCCUCUCCAGAGACCUGUCUCAGCCAGCCUGGGAGGCUGGUGUUUCAUUCCUCAGGGCGGGGAUCUCCCACCUGGUCUACAUGACAAAAGCCUGGCGCCUGGGAGGCGAUGCUCUAGUCACCUGGGCAGGGAGGAAAGACCCGGCCCUGCGCGGGCCCAGGUAGCCAGGGAUGCUGGGGAGAUUGGUCGGCUUGUGGCCAGUAUUGGCAGCUUCAAUUGGACCGGGCUGCUGAGGUCAGAGAGGUGAUUUAAGGGCUCGGUCCAAGAAGAAGGGCAGUCAGCCAUUAGCCAUGCGGUCAUCCAGGUGAAUCUGAGCCUGGCUCUCUCCUCAUCACCGCAUGCUCCAAGAGUGCCCUGCCUCCAGAGGAAACAACAACCACCUCUGGACGAUGAGAGUGAGUAAGCUACUAAAGAUCCAAUUAGAUAUUUAGUUUCAGUAACUCAGAUGCGUUUAAACGGCUACCUCAGCCACCCUGGUUUGCUCAAUGGGAUUCCUUUGAUAUUCCUGUAAGAUUUCUAUGAUAUUGCUCUACCUUUUACCCUGUUUCCGCCCUACCCCCUGUAAUCAAUAAAGUUCUCCUUGUGA